GGGGGACGCUGCGUUUCAGUGACGUAGCACGGGCAGCAGAGGAUGGAGCAGCUGUCAAAGAGAGGACAGGGAUCCCACACAGCCACUUGAAGAGCUAUCAGCAGGCUUUAAACAGAUAGGAGGAAAUCAAAAACAAACCUGCACCAGAGACCACAACACACAAAAGACAUUUCUCCAACAAGAGGAGGAAUCAAAGCAACCCUCAGCCGGAUGAUGCAAGGGCAUUCCUCUGGUGUCAGGGAUGGAAAUACAUGCUGAACGAAUCCUGAUGGGUUCUUAGAGAGAUGAGGCACCACCAUAAAAACAAG